AUGCCGUACAUCACAGAUAUUGAUGUUUCCAUUAAUCCUGAACAGGAGCAAGGCCUAAGAAACCAAAGUUUCAAAAUAAUCAAUGUUAAUCUGAACAAAGGUGCUGGAGGAAAUAAUAUUUACCUCUGGUACAAGAAGGGAAGCAGCAAUCCCAUCACCAGAUUGCAGGUUACAUUCACAGAUGAAAUGCAAAUUGGUUUGAGGAACGCAGGUUACCAUAAGGUGGAUAAAGACCUCAAUGCAGGGGCUGGAGGAGAUAACAUCUUUCUCUGGUGCUACAUGGAUCCAGUUGUCGUUAGCAUUGCGAUUCAGGUCACACGCCAGUCGUUCCCAGCCUUUCUGGUAAAUUUGGGCUUCAUCUGUUGCAUCUGUGGUGACCUUAAGUUCCACUAUAGGGUUGUCAUACUCAGUUGUACCUUUGUAGCACCAGAGAAAGAUGUUAUCUCCUCCAGCCCCUGCAUUGAGGUCUUUAUCCACCUUAUGGUAACCUGCGUUCCUCAAACCAAUUUGCAUUUCAUCUGUGAAUGUAACCUGCAAUCUGGUGAUGGGAUUGCUGCUUCCCUUCUUGUACCAGAGGUAAAUAUUAUUUCCUCCAGCACCUUUGUUCAGAUUAACAUUGAUUAUUUUGAAACUUUGGUUUCUUAGGCCUUGCUCCUGUUCAGGAUUAAUGGAAACAUCAAUAUCUGUGAUGUACGGCAUCCUGAGUUUGGUGUCUGAAGAGGACUGUGUAGGUACCUGAACAAAACAGAAAGCAAGUUGUUUGAAAUUUAAAAACGAAAUAGAAACAAAUUAAACUGAUGUAAAUACAUAAGUCAGAUACACAUAGAGUUAACUAAAAAUAGUAGACAACUUAUCAAAUGUUGAAACUGAGAAAUGUUAUUGUUUUUGGAAAACUACAUGCCCUUGAAUUUGAUGCCAGCAACAUGUUUCAGAAAGGUUGGGGCAGGGGCAUGUUUACCACUGUGUUGCAUCAACUCUUCUUUUAACAAUACUCUGUAAGCGUUUUGGAACAGAGGAGACCAAUUGCUGUAGUUUUGAAAGUGAAAUGCAUUCCCAUUCUUACUUGAUAUAGGAUUUCAGCUGCUCAGCAGUUCGGGGUCUCCUUUGGGGUAUUUUCUGUUUUGUAAUAUGCCAAAUGUUUACAAUGGACGACAGGUAUCGACUGCAGGCAAGCCAGUUUAGCUCCCAGACUCUUUUACUACGGAGCCAUGCUGUUGAAAUAUGUGCAAAUGUGGUUUGGCAUUGUCUUGCUGAAAUAAGCAAGGCCUUCCCUGAAAAAGAUGUCGUUUGCAUGUAACGGCAUAGGUUUGUUUAUUUUACCUAAUAUCAAGGUGUGCAUAAUUAUUAAGCAGCUUCAUGACCUCAGGUAAAAUGGGCCAAAAAACUGAUUUAACUGACACUGAAAAGUCAAAAAUUGCAAAAUGCUUUUCAGACGGAAGCAGCACUCUUGAAAUAGCUAAACGAUUGAGGCGUGACCACUAGACAAUUAAAGGUUUUGUUGCAAAUAGUCUACUGGGGUGCAAAAAAAGCUUUGAGAAGAAAAGACGCAAAUUAACUGCAAACGACUUGAUUAAACGUGAAGCUUCCAGGAACCAAUUAUCCUCCAAUGCAAUCAUAUUCCAGAACUGCAACCUGCCUGGAGUGUCCAGAAGUACAAGGUGUCAAAUGCUCAGAGACACAUUUUUAUUUGUCAGAACACAGGACAGUUUUCCACUUCGACUCAGUUCAUCUAAAAUCAGCUCGUGCGUUUCUGGAUGUUUUUGACAUAAUAAUGAACCCAAAAUCGAAUUAUGUUCAAAAAACGUAUCAUGUUUUGUGCAUUACGGGUAAUGCAUUACAUUGUGAGCAUAUAUUGCAUUAUGCAUGCAAAAACUAUUAUGAUACUAGCAAGUGUAACAUUUUAGGCAUUUUAUCAGAUCCUGUAGAAGCUAAUAAUGUAAUAACCACCAAUCAUGUAAUAACUGCUAAUAUUGUAACAAUUUUAGCAUUUUAUGUUACAAGUAACGUUAGUGAAAUAACAUGCCCAUAUAUAUUUGAAAAUAUAUGCUUAGCAAUCCCAUAUGGAAAUACAUAUAUUUUUGCAAUGCAUAAUGUAUGUAGAAUAAAUGAUGAAUAUAUGUCGAAUAUAUUAAUCUUAAUUCAAAAUACCUUUCAGAUAUCAAAAUGUAUUUCAC
rnacentral:lncRNA from 1 species